rnacentral:rRNA from 1 species
GGAGUCUGGGCCGUAUCUCAGUCCCAAUGUGGCCGAUCACCCUCUCAGGCCGGCUACCGAUCGUCGCCUUGGUGGUCCGUUACACCGCCAACUAGCUAAUCGGACGCAAACUCAUCCUACAUCGAUAAAUCUUUCGUCAAGCGUCCAUGUGAACGCCCACGUUAUCCCGUAUUACCCACGCGUUGGCAUGGCUAUCCAUGGAAUGUAGGGCAGAUUGUUUACGCGUUACUCACCCGUUCGCCGCUGUAUUGCUACCGCUCGACUUGCAUGUAUAAGACACGCCACCAGCGUUCGUU